rnacentral:rRNA from 1 species
UACGGGGGGGGGCAAGCGUUGUUCGGAAUUACUGGGCGUAAAGGCUCGUAGGUGGCCAACUAAGUCAUGCGUGAAAUCCCUCGGCUUAACCGGGGAACUGCGUCUGAUACUGGAUGGCUUGAGUUUGGGAGAGGGAUGCGGAAUUCCAGGUGUAGCGGUGAAAUGCGUAGAUAUCUGGAGGAACACCGGUGGCGAAGGCGGCAUCCUGGACCAACACUGACGCUGAGGAGCGAAAGCCAGGGGAGCAAACGGG